rnacentral:hammerhead_ribozyme from 1 species
GUACUAUUGAAGAGUCCAAGACUAGGAUGAAACAGCUGUCCAGUAC